rnacentral:rRNA from 1 species
UACGGAGGGUGCAAGCGUUAUCCGGAUUUAUUGGGUUUAAAGGGUCCGCAGGCGGACCGAUAAGUCAGUGGUGAAAUCUCAUAGCUUAACUAUGAAACUGCCAUUGAUACUGUCGGUCUUGAGUAAAUUAGAGGUAGCUGGAAUAAGUAGUGUAGCGGUGAAAUGCAUAGAUAUUACUUAGAACACCAAUUGCGAAGGCAGGUUACCAUGAUUUAACUGACGCUGAGGGACGAAAGCGUGGGUAGCGAACAGG